AAUGUUUACUUCUAGCAACACUAUCCUGAUGCUGUCAGAGUAAGUGGUAAAGCUCCAGCAUCAGUGAUUUUGUUGUUAGUGGUAAAUUCA
ensembl:miRNA